GCCCAAGGCCACACGACAGGCAGAUGGCAGAGCCCGGAUUAGAAUCUUGGGAAGCAACUGCAGUUGUGAGACCAGUGAGGCAUGCAAGAUUAAGGAAAGGGAGUUCAUUCUGUGAGCACAGAAAUUUGUUGUGAUAUCAAUUAUUUAUUAAGCCCGUUCCGUGCAUCAAAGCACUGUGCUAAAGGGUGGGCAAAUGCAGGUAAAUCAAAUUAGACACAAUCACAAUCUGAGAGGGAGGGAGAGCAAGGAAUCUCGAUCCCCAUUUUACAGAAGAGGAAACUGAAGGUGGUUAAGUGUCUUCAGACUGCAAGCUACUUGUGGGCAGGGAAUAUGUCUACCAACUGUAUUAUACUGCAGUCUCCCAAGUGCUUAGUACAGUGCUUUGAACACGUUAAGAGCUCAGUAACUACGGUUGAUGGAUUCACUGACUUGCUCAUGGUCAUACAGCAAGACAAUGGCAGAGUUGGGAUGAAAACCUGGGUCUCUUGACUCUCAAUCCCGGGCUCCUUCCACAAGGCCACACUGCCUCACCUUUAGGCAGAAGACCGUCACUUACAGUUCUUACAACUGCUUUUUACACACAACGGUGCGGCAAAGGGCUACCUUCACAUUCCCAUAGCAGUAACUGGGAUACUGAUGGUGCAUAAGUCUUGUUGGCCACAUCUCUGGAUACGAUCCCAACAUUGAUAGCAUCGGCCUCAAAAAUGAAGGACAAUUCACUCCCAAGAGCAAUCUCGGUUGAGGAAAACUCUUGGUGCAGUGUAAAACCCCAGCCGAAAUAUGGAUCUUUAAAACAUCUGUGUCUUACUCGUCUUCCAGACAAGGGGUAAAUUCAAUUUUUUUUUCAGAAACCUAUACUUGUAAGUGCCCCUGCAAUUUUGAUGUCAUUUUCACUACCGUUCACAGCAAGAAGGGAAUAUAGCUGAAAUCCAGUAAUUAUUUUUUGUUUUACUCAGUAUCAAAGAGCUACAACAAGAAAUAUUUCCGAUAGGCCCAUGUCUCAUUUAAGACAACAAUGUACCUUUGAUUGCCUGGUUACAUUUUACAGUCAACGGCUACACUGAUUAAAAUUCAAAGGUGGAAAUAAGGGCAAUCACAUCUUAGAGGGCAGCACCAAAACUCCUCUGAAGGUACUUUUAAAAGUUUGAUAAACAAUAGAGAACAAACUGUCAUCCUGAAACUCUCAUGUCACUAUUAUACCCUUCUGAGUUUCUCCAACAUGGUGAAAGAUUCAAUAAACUUCUCGGUUUCUUUUGAUUGUUUUUUCCAUCACAGAUUCAGUCUAUCUCCAAUCUGGAUUAGUCUUAAAUUCUACCAACGGGAAGGAUCACACAGACUUUUCCAGGUGCUAACGAGAAGUGAAAGAACCAACCAAAUGGGAGGGAAGAAGAGAAGCAAGAAAGGAAUUGGAUAAUCACACCCUUGUAUCAAUUGAGAGUUGGCUGGAAUACCAUGGUGGAGUAAGGAGAAUAAAAUACUUCUUUAAAAAUUGUGCAAAA